rnacentral:rRNA from 1 species
UGGGGAAUAUUGCACAAUGGACGGAAGUCUGAUGCAGCAACGCCGCGUGCGGGAUGACGGCCUUCGGGUUGUAAACCGCUUUUUCCCAUGACCAAGUCUUUUGACGGUAGUGGGGGAAGAAGCACCGGCUCACUACGUGCCAGCAGCCGCGGCGAUACGUAGGGUGCGAGCGUUGUCCGGAAUUAUUGGGCGUAAAGAGCUUGUAGGCUGUUUGUCGCGUCGAUAGUGCAAACUCAGUGCUUAACGCUGAGCCUGCUGUUGAUACGGGCAGAGUAGAGGAAGGUAGGGGGGAAUGGAAUUCCCGGUGGAGCGGGAGAAUGCGCAGAUAUCGGGAGGAACACCGGUGGCGAAGGCGGUUCUCUGGGCCUUUCCUGACGCUGAGAAGCGAAAGCGUGGGGAGCGAACAGG